AAUGUAAAAAGUUUGAAAUAUUGUGAGAAUUACCAAAAUGUUGACACAGACAUGAAGUGAGCAAAUGCUGUUGGAAAAAUGGUGCCAGUAAACUUGCUCAAUGAAUGAUUAUCACAAACCUUCAAUUUGUAAAAAAAGGAAUAUCUGCAAAGUGCAAUAAAAUGUGGUAUGCCUGCAGUAAAUUAGCAAGACCGAUUGCAUUAGUUUGCUAGGGCUUCCAUAACAAAAUAGCACAGAGUAAGUGGCUUAAACAACAGAAAUUUAUUUUCUUAUGGUUCUGGAGACUGGAAGUACAAGAUCAAGGUGCUGGCAGAGUUGGUUUCCUCUGAGGCCUCUCUCCUUGGCUUGCAGAUGGCCACUUUCUUGCCUUCUCUUCACAUGGUCAUCAUGCAGUAUACCCUUGGUGUCUCUCUGUGUGUUCUAGUCUUAUAAGGACACCAGUCAUAAUUGGAUUAGGGCCCUCUCUAAUGCUCUCAUUUUAACUUAAUUACCUCUUCAAAAUACAGUCAAUUUUGAGGUACUGAGGGGUAAGCCUUCAACUUGAGGGGAACACAAUUCAGCCCAUAACACUGAUAGAAUAAAUUAUCAAUAUCAGGAAUGAAAGCAAGGACAUGACUGUAGAUUUUACAAAGAUUAAAAUGAUAAUAAAAGAUUAUGAACAACUGACAAUAAAUUCAAUUAAAUGGACAGUUUCCUUAAAGAGAACAACUUAACAAAAAUACCACUUAUCACAAUUGACACAGGAGACAUAGAAACUCUGAAAAGCUCUACAUCUUAAAACAUGCUGAAUUUGUAUCUAAAAACCUUCCCAGAGAGAUAAAAGGAAGAUUUUGGUUCCAUUGGGACACUGAAGUCCACUACAGCUUAUCUCUUUUUGAAUUACAACUAAAAUCUCUUGAGAAUAUUCAUAAGCAACUACCUGAGCAUUCUGAAAAGUAAACAGAAAAUUGUGGAAGGAAGUCAGCAGUUGGAAAAGCAAUCCAUAAAGGAGUAAAUUUUCUGAGUUUCUGUUUUAUAGCUCUGCCCCCAAGGGCAGGCUCAGUUGUAGAAAUGUGUGAUCAUGUAGAUGGAUAGCCUCCAAUAGAACCUUGUUUUCCUGUCUAAAGGAACCACAAAAAGGGAAACUUGCAGGUCAGAAAGUGUAACAAGAAUUCUGGAUUUGGGGAAGGGGAUUACCUAAUCUGGUGUAACAGGCUCACCCCUGGGUUGUGCAUGGACAGGACAAAUCUAAAACAUCAUAACACUUAACAUUUUGACCAUUGCUCAAGACUCAUACUAACCCCUGAAAAGCACAUGUGCAGGUCGGACCCAAAACAGUAUGGCAAAUGCUUUAUGAUCUGAACUAUGAUUUAAACCAGGGCCCAAAUCUCAGACUAAUUCUGGGUGAUGGUUGUAUGGCAAGACAGAACUUUUGGUCUGAGUCUAAACUGAGUUGAUAGACUGGCUAAAAAAAAUUAACAUCCUCCAUAAGAUUAUAAGAGAACCCACAGUCUACACAGUAUUGCAGUCACAAUUUCCAGGAUAUAAUUCAAAGUUACUUAGCAUAUAAAGUAUGAGUAAAGUGACUAAUUAACCAGGCAAAGACAACCAACAGAUUUCAAGACAUACAGCUGUAGUAAUCAAGAUGGUGGUAUUGGCAGAGGAAUAAACACAUAGAUCAAUGGAACAGAAGGGAGAGCUCCAAAAUAGCAUUAUCACACAAGUAUGGCCAACUGAUAUUUGACAAAGUUGCAAAAGCAUUUUGAUGGAGAGAGGACACUCUUUUCAACAAUGGUGUGGAGUAAUUAAAUAUCCAUAAGCAAAAGAAUAAGCCUAGACCUAAAACUCACACCUUGUACAAAAAUUAACUCGAAGUGAAUCAUAGAUUUAAAAGCAAAGUAUAAAACUCUAAAGCUAAAAGAAGAUAACACAAGAGAAUAAAGCAUGGUGACAAUUCCAAAUGCUGAUGAAGAUACAGAAAAACAGUCUCGUACAUUGCUGAUGGGAAUAUAGAAUAGUACAGCCACUCUGGUAAAUAAUUUUGCAUUUUCUUUAAAGGCAUUUAUCAUACAACCCAGAAAUCACUGUUGACAUUUAUUCUAGAGAAAUGAAUACAUAAGUCUUCAUUAAAACCUGAACAUGAUUGUUCAUAGCUCUAUUUGUGAUAGCCCAAAGUUGAAACAACCAAAAUAUCUCUCAGUAGGUGAAUAGUUAAACUGAUAUAUGCAGACUAUGGAAUUCUACUCAGCAGUAAAAAGGAAAAAAACUAUCUCUUCAUAUAACAACUUCACUGAAUCUCAAGGGCAUUGUACUGUGUGAAAAAAAAAUCCAAUUCCAAAAACUCAUACUGUAUAAUUCCAUAUAUAUAUAUAUGGUUCUCAAAAUGAAAAAAUUACAGAAAUGGAAAGAUUAGUGGUUGGUGAAGGUAGGGGUGUAAUUAUAAAACAAUAGCACCAGAGAGGUUUUUGUGGUGAUGGAAUAGUUUGGUAUCUUGACUGCAGUAGUCAUUACACAAAUCUAUACAUGUGAUUAAAUGAUAUUGAACUAUGUAUACACACCAUAUUAAUGUCAUUUCCUGUCAAUGUCAUUUGAUAUUGUACUAUAAUUGUAUAAGAUGUAACCAUUGAGGUAAACAGGAUGAAAGAUGCAUAGUGCCUUUCUGAAUUACCUUUGAAACUUUUUAUUCUAUAAUUAUUUCAAAUUAAAACAUUCUCAAAAAUUAAAGAUAUAAUCACUCAAUGAACGUGAAGAGUGAUAAACAGAAGUUAUAGAAUCUGAAGGACAGAAGCAGGGAAAGAUUUUUAAAAGAAAGAAAGAGAAAAAAAAGAGCAUAGCAUCAUGGGUCUAUGGAACAAUAUUUUAAAAAUCUAACAUACUUGCCCCUGGAGUUUCAGAAAGAGAGGAUAAAGAGAUUGGGGCCAAAAAAAUUAUUUGAAGAAAUAAUGCCCCAAACAUCACAAAUUUAAUGAGACAUACAUUUACAGAGGCAAAAAGUUUGAUGCACCCCAAACAAGAUAAAGAAAAUAAUACUUAGACACAUUUUAAUGAAACUACUGAAGACUUUUGUAAAAAGAUUUUUAAAAAUCUUAACAGAACUAGAGAAAAAUGAAACAUUACAUAUGGGUCAACAAUGAUUGGGAUGCUCUUGGAUUUCUCAUCAGAAACCAUGAAACCCAGACAAUGGAAGAACAUCUUUAAAGUGCUCAAAGAAACAAGUGGUCAACACAGGAUUCUAUGUCCAGCAAAAAUAUCCAUCAGAAUAAAUAAAGAUAUUCUGAGAUGAAAGAAAAUUAUGAGAAUUCAUCAGCAGCAGAUUGAUUCGAGAAGAAUACUUAAAGGAAAUGAUUCAGGCUAAAGAGGAAUACCAAAGAGAAACUUAGAAGUUGAAAAAUGAAGGAAAAGCAACACAAAUGACUCCAUGGAGGAGGAAGAGGUGUCCUUCUGCUACAGCACAAGAGGGGUGCAUGCAGGCUAAUUGCCCUGUGUUGGCUGCCUGGUGGGACCCACUGGCCAUAGGGAACCGAUGCACACAAUUGGAGCUGAUCUUUCUCUGUCUCUUCUCCAUCAGAUAAUUUCAACUGGAGACAGGGAUUACACUCCCAAGACAUCAGGCCUCACCAGCAAUCUUGGGCUUCUCAUUUAAAUUCCCUGAGUUUUUACUGAAGAAGUUUGCAAAGACCAGGGUGAAGGCUAUAUUGGACUGCCCAGGGAACCACACUCUUCAGGGACUGUGGACAUUAGGAAGACAUGUCCAGUUGACAGUGAAAGGCUAAGCCAAGGGCCUCCCUAUUCCCUGAAGCACAACAAUAUUGAAAUUGGGCCAAUUAAUAACCCUACAAUGGCCUGCAAGUGUUCAGGUAAGAGUUGCCCAUCUCUCACUUUAAAUCAAAAGCUAGAAAUGAUUAAGCUUAGUGAGGAAAGCAUGUUGAAAGAUGAGAUGGGUCAAAACUAGGCCUCUUGUGCCAAUUAGCCAAGUUGUGAAUGCAAAGGAAAAGGUCUUGAAGGAAAUUAAAAGUGUUACUCUAGUGAACACAGGACUGAUAAGAAAGCAAAACACCCUAAUUACUGAUAUGGAGAAAGUUGUAGUGAUCUGAACAGAAUAUCAAACCGGCCCCAACAUUUCCUUAAGCCUAAUCCUGAACAAUAUCCUAAUUCUCUUCAAUUCUAUGUAGGCUGAGAGAGGCAAGGAAGCUGUAGAAGAAUAGUUUGAAGCUAGCAGAGGUUGGUUUUUGAGGUUAAAGAAAAGAAGCAAUCUCCAUAACAUAAAAGUGCCAGGUGAAGCCACAAGUGCUGAGGUAGAAGCUGCAGCAAGUUUGCAUAUAUGUGUAUAUAAAUAGAUUAUAGAUAUUUAGACUAUAGUUAUAUGUUCAAGAGAGAGAUUCCUAAGUUUGUUCAUUUGCCUUUCCAUGUUUUCAAAAACUACCUUCCUUUAGCUGCGCUUUUGCCCUGAGAGAGCUCUGAGUCAGGCGAACAAAAGGCAGUGUGUUGUGUCAGUCCUUCAGAGAACCCGCAGACAGAUGACAGCAGACAAACACAAUUCCCUGGGAACAAGGCCCCCACUCCUUCCCUCCAGAACCAGGUAUCCACACCAGGAACGUGAGCCGCCGGCCAGAAGACCCGCUGCUCUGUGGGGAGGGGGUGGGGCAAGGCUAAGUUAAAACACUUUAGACACUUUUUUCUUGAUUCAGUGUUCUCUUGGUUGCUAUAAAUCUUUGACCACAUUCCAGAGUUCUGACAAAGUUGAUUCUGGCAGUUUUCGUUCAUUUUUUUGGUGUUUCUAUGAAAGGACAGGUCCUUCAGGCUACCUACUCUACCAUUUUGACUGACAUCUGGCAUCACCAAGAAUUUUUAAAAAAUAAAGCCAGUGGCCCCUAAAUGCCUUACAAUGAAAAUAUAUACUAUUCAGUGCAUAAAAGUAGUGAGGAAAAUACAUUCGCUGACUAUUCUAGGUUUUGUAUUAAGAGGACAUGGAGCGCAUACUUUUUGAGCACCGGCCAUGCUGCAAGCGCAGUGCUAGAAAUCUUAUAUUUAUUAAAUCAUCACUGACUAGCUUGGGUCAUCUGCGGCCUCUGUAAAACAAGAAGGUUAGAUGAUCUCUAACGUCCUUUCUAGCUCUAAUCCUGUAUGACUCUAAAAAGAUCUUGCUUUGUAUUUUGAAAAGAACCAGGGUAUACUUACUGUUGAAAUGGAAACAUGUUAGAAAAAAGAAAAGAUCAGCUGCUGAGAAAUAAAUGCAGUGCUGUACCUGAUGUAAUACUGAUGACUGAAGAUGGGGCUUCUAGACGUCAGUCUGGCUAAUGGUAGAGUCAGGCAAAGAGCAGAAAGAAGAUCCUGGGACCAAUGUGGAAAUAAGUUGAAAAUGGACUAGAGGUAGAGAUUAUACUUUGGAAUCUGUUUUAAAUCAGCGAGAGAUGGUGAUGGAUGAUCGAUGAAUUGGAUUACGAAGAGGGAUGAAUGAACAGAAUUUGAUUCAGCUUAGAUGUAGUAUGUAGUCAGUGAGGGAGAAGGAAGAAUCAAGUCUGAUUCCUAGUUUCCUCGUCUGGGCAACCAGAUGGAUGGUGAUGCCUUUCAUUGAGAAAUGUGACAUAUGAAGAGGACCGACUCCUUUAUGGGGAGGAGUGGCAGGUGCCGGUGAAACUUCCAGCCAGGUCAUGGAAGCUACCUAAAUGCCCAUCGACAGAUGAAUGGAU